UACAUGUGGGGCAAGCGUUGUUCGGAAUUACUGGGCAUAAAGGGUGCGUAGGUGGCUUGUUAAGUCAGGGGUGAAAGUUUUCGGCCCAACCGGAAAAUGGCCUUUGAUACUGGCGAGCUCGAGUGCGUGAGGGGUAACCGGAACGAGCAGUGUAGCGGUGAAAUGCGUAGAUAUUGCUCGGAAGGCCAACGGCGAAGGCAGGUUACUGGUACGCAACUGACACUGAGGCACGAAAGCGUGGGGAGCGAACCGGG
rnacentral:rRNA from 1 species